rnacentral:rRNA from 1 species
AACGCUAGCUACAGGCUUAACACAUGCAAGUCGAGGGGCAGCAUGGUCUUAGCUUGCUAAGGCCGAUGGCGACCGGCGCACGGGUGAGUAACACGUAUCCAACCUGCCGUCUACUCUUGGACAGCCUUCUGAAAGGAAGAUUAAUACAAGAUGGCAUCAUGAGUCCGCAUGUUCACAUGAUUAAAGGUAUUCCGGUAGACGAUGGGGAUGCGUUCCAUUAGAUAGUAGGCGGGGUAACGGCCCACCUAGUCUUCGAUGGAUAGGGGUUCUGAGAGGAAGGUCCCCCACAUUGGAACUGAGACACGGUCCAAACUCCUACGGGAGGCAGCAGUGAGGAAUAUUGGUCAAUGGGCGAGAGCCUGAACCAGCCAAGUAGCGUGAAGGAUGACUGCCCUAUGGGUUGUAAACUUCUUUUAUAAAGGAAUAAAGUCGGGUAUGGAUACCCGUUUGCAUGUACUUUAUGAAUAAGGAUCGGCUAACUCCGUGCCAGCAGCCGCGGUAAUACGGAGGAUCCGAGCGUUAUCCGGAUUUAUUGGGUUUAAAGGGAGCGUAGAUGGAUGUUUAAGUCAGUUGUGGAAGUUUGCGGCUCAACCGUAAAAUUGCAGUUGAUACUGGAUAUCUUGAGUGCAGUUGAGGCAGGCGGAAUUCGUGGUGUAGCGGUGAAAUGCUUAGAUAUCACGAAGAACUCCGAUUG